CGCCUGGCGGCGUGCUUAACACAUGCAAGUCGAAGGAGAUUCAGCAAUGGAUCUUAGUGGCGAACGGGUGAGUAACGCGUAGGCAAUCUGCCUUCUAGAUGGGGACAACAUCCCGAAAGGGGUGCUAAUACCGAAUGUUGUAUGAUUUUUCGCAUGGAGAUGAUACUAAAGGUGGCCUCUGAAUAUGCUACCGCUAGAAGAUGAGCCUGCGUCUGAUUAGCUAGUUGGAGGGGUAACGGCCCACCAAGGCUUCGAUCAGUAGCCGGUCUGAGAGGAUGAACGGCCACACUGGGACUGAGACACGGCCCAGACUCCUACGGGAGGCAGCAGUGGGGAAUCUUCCGCAAUGGACGAAAGUCUGACGGAGCAACGCCGCGUGAAGUGAAGAAGGUUUUCGGAUCGUAAAGCUCUUUCGUUAGGGACGAACGUGCUCUUUGUGAAUAAUGAGGAGUAAUGACGGUACCUAAAUAAGAAGCCACGGCUAACUACGUGCCAGCCGCAGC
rnacentral:rRNA from 1 species